AGUAAAAUAAUUCGGCUAGCCAAUUUAGUCUCCAUGUUGUUGCGCUUCAGUGUACUAUUUAUACUAUACAAUCCAGCGUAUUUUUUACCAUAUGGCAACAAAAAAUGUAGAUGGCUUUCAUAUGCAUAAUUUGUUCUAAUUUCUAUGGCAUUGAAAACAUAAGUGCAACUUCAUAGUGGCAAGACAAAUAACUAUGUUUCUGG
rnacentral:lncRNA from 1 species